UCAGGUGUGCCCAGCCAAUAAGAACAUGCCAGAGCAGGGUAUAUUGGAAAACAUGCAGGAAGGUGGCUCUCGAGGACCAGGGUUCCCUACCCCUGUUCUAGAGUGACCUAAAAGCUAGGAGUUCUCACAAGUGUGGGCUGCAGAAAAAAAUUUGUGCCAUGUCAAUGCUGGUGGAGAAGUCAUUUUUUCAUCCAUGUCAGAAUUAGGUUUUUUUUUACGUUUGAAGUAAUUUAAUAUGGAAAUAUGUGGAUGGUCCAGUAAAGGGCAUUUUAAAAGCAAAAUCUUUAGAAUAACUGAAGGAUGAAAAACACAAACUUUGAAAUGAAACUCUUUCUUCUGGAUUCAGGUUGUGGAGCUGCAGAUUGUCAACGAUCAGCUGUGCUGCUCUGGUCGCAACUCUGAAGUCCAACACAUCCUACCUGACAGAACUGGACCUGAGAGAAAACAACCUUAAUUCUUCAGAUGUUCAGCAGCUCCAGGAUCUGGUGGAGAGUCCAAACUCCAAACUGCAGACUCUGAGGUUGUGAGUGUGAUGUUCCUCCUUUUGGAUCAGAGUGGAUCAUCAUCAUCAUCAUCAUCAUCAUCAUAAUCUGGUCUGCAGAGAUGUUCCUGGAGGUGGAGAGCAGAGUGAUGGAGGAAUCAGAGGAAGUGGAGAUGAGUGUCAGAGCUGCAGCAUGAACUGAUCUGAGAUCAGCUCCACUGUCUCUCUCAGCAUUAAGUGGACAGUUAUUGUGCUGCAGCUCCCCCGGUGGACUGAUGGAGAACUGCACUUCAUCUUCUCAUUCUGACUUGGAGUGUUGAUCUAAAACAUCAGUUGGAUUCAGAUGUUCUGCAGCUCCAGAAUCUGGAGAAACAAAAAGCUGUAGACAAACAGAUUCUUUUCUAGAUGAUCUAUUUCUUCUUUGAUCUGCAUUUGAUGAAGAGAUGUGAGUUUGUGACUGGACCAAUCAAGGAUUGAGGGAAUCAUUGAUCAGACAGAACAGUUCUGGAUUAGAUAGAUCUAUGCGUGGAUCAGGGAAAAACAGGCAGUCAGGCGUUAGAUCCUGUUUCGGUCUCUGGAACAGGGAAAGACUUUUGAACCAGAACUCUGGAUCACAAGGUUUGGCUAAAGAGGACACUAAACACACAAUGGAAGACCGUUUUAGAGCCGUAUCAUCAGGCGAAGGUCAGCAAUUGAUCCUAGCUGAAGACUAUUUUCAUGAUCGUUAGGAUUUAACUCGUUCAUAAACAUGGUGCUUUCAUGUUCCCCUGGGGUUCACCACUGGGCAGCAGCAGAACUCUAAUUGGGUCCAGAUGAUUUGGUUUCUCUGGCCAAAAUAAAACAUUUAGAAUCUCCAGUCUAAAGUGAAGUUGCAAACCACUUCCAUGGAGACUGUUGUCACUAUUUGAUUUUUUUGAAUUAUUUUUUAUGAAUUCUAAUUUUUACGUUUUUAUUUACAUUUAAGGUUUGAAUUUCUGUUGUCAGUUUAAUAUCAAAAGAAAAUGUGUAAUAACUGUGAAUUUGUUAAAUCUAAUCAUUAUGGAAAUUGAGGAACUUUUCCAAUAGUUUUUCUACCUUAGAAUUAUUUCACAUUUAUUGCUUUUCUUUGAUAUUGACUACAGGUUAAUGUUUAAUCCUACUCAUAAUUAUUCUAUUUACAGACAUUUUUUGGGGGAUAUUUUGGAUUUAAUUUUAAAUUUUUAAAUUUCUUUAAACAUAACGAUAGUUUUGUGAUUAAAUCUAUUUAGUCUGAGAUGUGGUUUACACUCAAAUCUUAACGUUUUUGUAGUAUAUUAGAGGUGUUAUACUCUUUGUGUCCAACAGGUGUCGCUGCUUUAUGAAUGUGGUGUUUCUGUGUUGUACCAGACGGCAGAAUAAACAUGGUAGACUGAAAA